rnacentral:rRNA from 1 species
CCUACGGGUGGCAGCAGUGAGGAAUAUUGGUCAAUGGCCGGAAGGCUGAACCAGCCAUGCCGCGUGAAGGUCAGUGCCCUAUGGGCGUUAAACUUCUUUUGUGCGGGAGCAAUAAUGGUCACGUGUGGCCAGACGAGAGUACCGUACGAAUAAGCAUCGGCUAACUCCGUGCCAGCAGCCGCGGUAAUACGGGGGAUGCAAGCGUUAUCCGGAAUUAUUGGGUUUAAAGGGAGCGUAGGCUGUGAGGUAAGUCAGCGGUGAAAUGCACCGGCUCAACGGGGUGAAGUGCCAUUGAAACUGGCUUGCUGGAAUGCGGAUGCGGUGGGAGGAAUGUGUGGUGUAGCGGUGAAAUGCAUAGAUAUCAGACAGAACACCGAUUGCGAAGGCAGCUCACGGAUCCGCGAUUGACGCUGAUGCACGAAAGCGUGGGUAUCAAACAGGAUUAGAUACCCCAGUAGUC